UACGUAGGGGGCAAGCGUUGUCCGGAAUCAUUGGGCGUAAAGAGCGUGUAGGCGGCCCGAUAAGUCCGCUGUGAAAGUCCAGGGCUCAACCCUGGGAUGCCGGUGGAUACUGUCGGGCUCGAGUCCGGAAGAGGAGUGUGGAAUUCCUGGUGUAGCGGUGAAAUGCGCAGAUAUCAGGAGGAACACCAAUUGCGAAGGCAGCUCGCUGGGACGUAACUGACGCUGAGACGCGAAAGCGUGGGGAGCAAACGGG
rnacentral:rRNA from 1 species